rnacentral:rRNA from 1 species
UACGUAGGCAGCGAGCGUUGCUCGGAGUUACUGGGCGUAAAGGGUGUGUAGGCGGUUCUUUAAGUUUGGUGUGAAAUCUCCCGGCUCAACCGGGAGGGUGCGCCGAAUACUGAGGGACUAGAGUGCGGGAGAGGAAAGUGGAAUUCCUGGUGUAGCGGUGAAAUGCGUAGAUAUCAGGAGGAACACCGGUGGUGUAGACGGCUUUCUGGACCGUAACUGACGCUGAGACACGAAAGCGUGGGUAGCAAACAGG